GCCCUCGUAGUUAAAUGGAUAGAACACUGGCCUCCGGAGCCGAAGAUUCGGGUUCGAGUCCCGACGAGGGCGCCA
rnacentral:tRNA from 1 species